rnacentral:tRNA from 1 species
GGUGUGGCCCAGUGGUAGAAUGUGUGCUUAACAAGCAAAAGGUCCUGGGUUCAAUUCCCAGCACC